rnacentral:rRNA from 1 species
AGUUUGAUCCUGGCUCAGAUUGAACGCUGCGGCAUGCCCUUACACAUGCAAGUCGAACGGUAACAGGUCUUCGGAUGCUGACGAGUGGCAACCGGGGUGAGGUAAUACAUCGGAACGUGCCCGAUCUCGGGGGAUAACGGAGCGAAAGCUUUGCUAAUACCGCAUACGAUCUACGGAUGAAAGCAGGGGACCGCAAGGCCUUGCGCGGACGGAGCGGCCGAUGGCAGAUUAGGUAGUUGGUGGGAUAAAAGCUUACCAAGCCGACGAUCUGUAGCUGGUCUGAGAGGACGACCAGCCACACUGGGACUGAGACACGGCCCAGACUCCUACGGGAGGCAGCAGUCGGGGAAUUUUGGACAAUGGGCGCAAGCCUGAUCCAGCCAUGCCGCGUGCAGGAUGAAGGCCUUCGGGUUGUAAACUGCUUUUGUACGGAACGAAAAGACUCUGGUUAAUACCUGGGGUCCAUGACGGUACCGUAAGAAUAAGCACCGGCUAACUACGUGCCAGCAGCCGCGGUAAUACGUAGGGUGCAAGCGUUAAUCGGAAUUACUGGGCGUAAAGCGUGCGCAGGCGGUUAUGUAAGACAGAUGUGAAAUCCCCGGGCUCAACCUGGGAACUGCAUUUGUGACUGCAUAGCUAGAGUACGGCAGAGGGGGAUGGAAUUCCGCGUGUAGCAGUGAAAUGCGUAGAUAUGCGGAGGAACACCGAUGGCGAAGGCAAUCCCCUGGGCCUGUACUGAC